rnacentral:rRNA from 1 species
GAGCGAACGCAGCGAACUGAAACAUCUUAGUAGCUGUAGGAAGAGAAAGAAAACUCGAUUCCCGUAGUAGCGGCGAGCGAAGAGGGAAGAGCCUAAACCAGUGGUUUUUACCAUUGGGGUUGUGGGACAACGAUAUGGAAUCCGGCGGUUAGACGAAGCAGUUGAAAGCUGCACCAGAGGAGGUGAAAGUCCUGUAGUCGAAAGCUUAAGGAUACUAGUUGAAUCCCGAGUAGCACGGG